rnacentral:lncRNA from 1 species
AAAGGACUCCAAGCCCAUCAAAUCCGGCUGAUCCCCACCUUGUCACCAGCCCAGAGCACUGAGUGCCACACCCAGGCCUUCCUUGGACACCUCCAGAUUCCUCCAGACUCCUGGGCAGCCCCUUCCAAUGUUUAACAUCUCUUUCCUUGAAGAAAUUCUUCCUGAUGUCCAGCCUGACCCUCUCCUGGUACAGCUUGUUUGCUGAGUUUGGGUCAGAGCUUGUGCUUGCAGCCCCAGUUAACCUUUCUGCAAGGAAAAACCCAACCUAAGCAGCAGAAAAUGUCAGGAAAAUUAUGUUAAUUUGCAGAGUGAAUUUUCUUCAGGACCUCAAAGAAGGACUCUGAAGGAGCUGAGACCUGAAUCUCAGACACAGGACCCAUCCAAAGGAGAUCAUCUCAAAGGAAACUGGUGGCUUUUUUGGGUUCUCUGCUGGAGAAACUGUUUGGAGCUGGCCAGCAAAAGCACUUCCAAAAGCUCUCAAAGUCAUUUCCACCCAGAACCUCGAGAUUUCCAAGGAUCCUGUCCAAAACUCUGCAGGAUCAAGCUUUGUACCUGCCCUUCCUGGUGCAAGCUGCAGGUUACUGAAGAAAGAAGAAGAUCCCAAAGCAAGUUUAGCGCUGUAAAGUGA